rnacentral:rRNA from 1 species
GAUGAACGCUGGCGGCGUGCCUAACACAUGCAAGUCGAACGGAGUCCAGCCUUUAAUACCUUCGGGUCAAUGGGGGGAAGACUGAGUGUCAGACGUGUGAGUAACACGUGGGCAACCUGGCUCAUUGCGGGGGAUAACAGCGAGUAAUUUCUGCUAUUACCGCAUAAGCACACCCUUCCGCAUGGCCGAGGGUGAAAAGAGAAUUGCGAUGAGAUGGACCCGCGUGUGAUUAGCCUGUUGGCAGGGUAAGAGCAUACAAGAGCGACGAUCAGUAGCCGAUGUGAGAGGAUGAACGGCGACAUUGGGAGUGAGACACGGCCGAAACUCCUACGGGAUGCAGCAGUGGGGGAUAGUGCACAAUGGGGGGAACCAUGAUGCAGCUCCGCCGGGUAAGUGAAGAAGUAUUGCGGUAUGUAAAGCGCUAUCAGCAGGGAAGAUAAUGACAGUACCUGAAUAAGAAGCCCCGGCUAACUACGUG